CGGGGUGGAGUAACGCGUGGGUGACCUGCCCCAUACCGGGGGAUAACAGCUGGAAACGGCUGCUAAUACCGCAUAAGCGCACAGAGCUGCAUGGCUCAGUGUGAAAAACUCCGGUGGUAUGGGAUGGGCCCGCGUCUGAUUAGGCAGUUGGCGGGGUAACGGCCCACCAAACCGACGAUCAGUAGCCGGCCUGAGAGGGCGACCGGCCACAUUGGGACUGAGACACGGCCCAA
rnacentral:rRNA from 1 species